AUGGGAUAGAUGGGACAUGGGACAGCUGCAACACAGGACAGUGGGACAUGGGAUAGCUGGGACAUGGUAGAGCUGGGACAUUGGACAGCCUGGGACAAGGGGCUGCUUCAAGGGCAUCCUCAGUCUACAGGGAUAAAUGAAGGGUGGCGAUAGGAGCUGAUCACUUAAAGCAAGGGUUUGUAUUUUUAGUGUUUGCCUGAAAAGAGAAAUGCUCAGUCACAGAGUUUACAGCUGCUUUUGGGAUUUCCUCAGCACACGAGCAGCGUGCACACCUGCACCACCCCUGCACCAUCCCUACAUCCCCACGCAGCAGUGCCUGAGCACCAGGAGCAUCCUCCCCUUCUAGAGCCAGCCUGGCAGAGCAAGAUGGCAGUGCCAGCUGGAUACCACAGGGAACAGGGCAAUACACGAUUCCACAUGGGCAAGACACUUCAGUCACACAGCUAAAUCCUGCUCUGACCUGCAGCCACCAACCACAGGAGGGAUGGAGCAGUUGCAAUUCUCUAGCUUGAAGCUGAUCACUGAAACACAGAUUCCUGAACACUGAAGGACAAAUUGAAAGAAACAAGCAGAGCACAACGCCGGAAAGUGGAUGAAGAAACAAAGCCCUGCCUUUGAAAGAGACCUCUGUGAAUCCCUGGCACGUAGCAGCAAAAGGGAGGAAAUGGGAGGCUAAGAAGGACAGAGCAUCUGCUCACAUUGUGACUGUGCUCUCCUCCCAAACACCAGGCUCUGCAAGGCCAGAGCUCAAGUUCUGACUGUGAAUAUCUUGGCUCACAUCGAUGCUCUUCCUGCACCCACCUGACUUCAGCUGGAUUUUUGCCACUGACUUUUUGGGGGGUAACACCACCAAAUUCUAUACUGGUUUAGUCUUAAUACUUAAGGAUUAAUAAAAAU